GGAACCGGGAGAGGUAAGAGGUACUACAGGGGUAGGAGUGAAAUCUUGUAAUCCCUGUGGGACCACCUGUGGCGAAGGCGUCUUACCAGAACGGGUUCGACGGUGAGGACGAAAGCUGGGGGCACGAACCGGAUUAGAUACCCGGGUAGUCCCAGCCGUAAACGAUGCUCGCUAGGUGUCAGGCAUGGCGCGACCGUGUCUGGUGCCGCAGGGAAGCCGUGAAGCGAGCCACCUGGGAAGUACGGCCGCAAGGCUGAAACUUAAAGGAAUUGGCGGGGGAGCACAACAACGGGUGGAGCCCUGCGGUUUAAUUGGACUCAACGCCGGACAACUCACCGGGGGCGACAGCAAUAUGUAGGCCAAGCUGAAGACUUUGCCUGAAUCGCUGAGAGGUGGUGCAUGG
rnacentral:rRNA from 1 species